AUGACUGCGUCCACACCUUGUGUUAAACCAUAUCAGUUUACAUAAUAGUACAGCUUCAUUUUGGUGCAUGUUCAUCCACUGGAUCUUGCUCCAAUGUCAUGAAUUGGGAGAAUGAGGCCUUUGCCACUGCCCCCCGAGAUCAAGGAGCCGCCAACAUGUAGGAUACAUAACUACGGCAUUGGUGCCCGCAAUGGGGCGAUUGUUGUUCUACCUCUUGCGCGGUUGUGGGCUCUGCUCCUCAGGCUCCCUCCGGUCGGCUUGAGCAUGACUCCUCCACACAAAUUCUGCCCUCUACUGUUGAAAAAAAACAAAGAAGAUUUUUGCCCUCUACUGUCUGUUUGUGUUACAUUUAAAAUGUCCCUCCGGUCGGCUUGAGCAUUUCUUAAAUCCCUUUUUUAAUUAAAAAAUAGAAAAGGGGUUAACCUAUGGCAAGGACGCACUAUCAAUGUACAUUUGUCUAUGUGCAUGCAUGAGUGCCUAUGCACAUGACUGUCUGCAUGCAUGUGCAUGUGAAAAACCUGAAUUGUCUUGACAUCUUGCUUGCGUUAGUCCAUCUUGGGAAUUGCUUUUGAGUGUUAGUAGGCUUUCCAUUUGUGGAAACCUAGAAUAAGUAUUAGG
rnacentral:lncRNA from 1 species